GUGUCAGCAGCCGCGGUAAUACGGGGGGAGCAAGCGUUGUUCGGAAUCACUGGGCGUAAAGGGCGUGUAGGCGGUUCGGUAAGUGGGAUGUGAAAUGCCCGGGCUCACCCCGGGACCUGCAUCUCAUACUGCUGAGCUUGAGUACAGGAGAGGGUGGGGGAAUUCCUGGUGUAGCGGUGAAAUGCGUAGAUAUCAGGAGGAACACCGGUGGCGAAGGCGCCCACCUGGCCUGCUACUGACGCUGAUGCGCGAAAGCUAGGGGAGCAAACGGGAUUAGAAACCCUUGUAGUCC
rnacentral:rRNA from 1 species